AGCUAGGUAAGGCCUGGGGACAUGUGGAGUCAGCCAAGUCCCACGGCUAUGCUGGAAAGUCAGACCUUAUCUGCACUUCUGACUGGUGUCUGUUCUAGGCUCCACACCUGGACACAAUUGGAGAAACUGGUUAUUUUACCAAGGCUUUGACUGGAAUGGCGUGCUUUCCUUUAAGGAAUCAAACUUGACUUAUAGAGCCAACCAAUAAAAGCCCCUUGGGAAAAGUGACCUCACACCUUGUCUACGCAGUACCUGUACAGGGUUCCUGACCUGUGAUGUCAAAUUCCAGCAGAACAGCUGAUGCUAACCAGUUUGAAGACCCCCAGAGAGGAACAGAAUCAGCAUGAGAAUACAGCUUCUUCUUCAACCUGUCCCAUGACUUCACCCUGCACUCUAACCAAUGAAUGAUAUCUACACUUUGGCCCACUUCAAAACCUUUAAACACCCUAACCCCCCAAAUCCCUUAGGGAGUCAGAUUUGAGGUUUCUUCAUGUCUCGUCAUCUAGUGGCCCUACAAAUAAACCUCUUUCUCUACUGC